AACGAACGCUGGCGGCAGGCCUAACACAUGCAAGUCGAGCGCCCCGCAAGGGGAGCGGCGGACGGGUGAGUAACGCGUGGGAAUAUGCCCUUUGCUACGGAAUAGUCUCGGGAAACUGGGGGUAAUACCGUAUACGCCCUUUGGGGGAAAGAUUUAUCGGCGAAGGAUUAGCCCGCGUUGGAUUAGGUAGUUGGUGGGGUAAUGGCCCACCAAGCCGACGAUCCAUAGCUGGUUUGAGAGGAUGAUCAGCCACACUGGGACUGAGACACGGCCCAGACUCCUACGGGAGGCAGCAGUGGGGAAUCUUAGACAAUGGGGGCAACCCUGAUCUAGCCAUGCCGCGUGAGUGAUGAAGGCCUUAGGGUUGUAAAGCUCUUUCAGCUGGGAAGAUAAUGACGGUACCAGCAGAAGAAGCCCCGGCUAACUCCGUG
rnacentral:rRNA from 1 species